rnacentral:lncRNA from 1 species
AUAGAGGCUUCUGGAGGGAAAUCCAGGAAACGGGAUAACAUUUGAAAUGUAAAUAAAUAAAAUAUCCAAUGAAAUAUGAAUAAAAAUCCCAACUAUUCUAGAAUACAUACAAGAAUAUGUGUGUUAUGUUUAUUUUAGCACAUUUCCCUCUUAUCUAGAAUAUUAAUACUACAUAGAAUAGGAUCGUAUAAUAUAUUUGGAAAAAGAUGCUAUGUUGAACUGUGUCUUAUAAAAAUACACAAAGUCUUGUAUCCUCCCUGCAUAAGUGACUUUGUUUAGAAAUAUGAUUUCUGCAUAUAAUCCUGAGAUGAGGUCUUUAGUUUGGCAGCAUUGCUCUUAUAAAAAAAAAAAAAUGCCCAGAAAACAGACAUGCACAGAGAAAAGACAAUAGGAUGAUAAGGCAGAAGACAGUCACUUUAAAGAAGAGCCUUCUUUGCCACACAUUAAUCACCCCAGAUAAAAGAAAAGCAUGCCUGAACUAAUUUCACUGAAGCUAUUCUACUGCAAUAGAAAGAAAAAUGAGGCUGGACCAUGUCAGGGAUUCCCUGAGUACAUAAGG